AGCCAUGUGAUUAGAGGAUUGGAACUUUGAGCCCCACCCAUGACUGCAGGGGAGGGGAAAAGGGUUGGAGUUGGAGUUAAUCACCAGUGGCCAGUGAUUUAACUAAUCACGCCUGUGUAAUGAAGCCUCCAUAAAAAACCCCAAACUCAAAGAGUUCAGGAGCUUCCUGGUUGAUGAACAUGUGCAGAUGCUGGGAGAUAACCGGGAGGGUAGACCACCGGAAAGGGCGUGGAAGCUCAGCACCUCUUCCCACAUAUCUUGCAUCUCUUCCAUCUGGCUGUUUCCGAGUUGUAUCCUUUUAUAGUAAACUAGUAUUUAGAAAAUUAGCCCUGAGCUAACAUCUGCUGCCAAUCCUCCCCUUUUUGCUGAGGAAGACUGGCCCUGAGCUCACAUCCGUGCCCAUCUUCCUCUGCUUUCUAUGUGAGAUGCCUACCACAGCAUGGCUUCCCAAGCGGUGCCAUGUCCACACCCGGGAUCCAAACCGGCAGACCCAGGACCACCAAAGCGGAAUGUGUGAACUUAACCACUGUGCCACUGGGCCGGCCCUAUUAUUUUUUUGCUAAUUUCUUCUCCGUCAUUUGCUCAUUUGGGGACUUAUCUUUUCUCCCCUACUGUUCAUUUGUCUUUUCGCUGUACUUUCUAGGAGAUUUCAUCAUACGACCUUCCAACUUUUUUGUCGGCUUUUUAAUUUCACUUUUCUCAUGUGUUCAGUUGCUCCUUUGUUAUUACAUCCUGUUCUGUUUUUGUUGUUGUUGAGAAAAACUAGCCCUGAGCUAACAUCUGUUGCCAAUCCUCCUCUUUUUUGCUGAGGAAGACUGGCCCUGAGCUAACAUCUGUGCCCAUCUUCCUCACUUUAUACGUGGGACACCUGCCAUAGCAUGGCUUGACAAGCAGUGCAUGGGUCCACACCCAGGAACCGAACCAGUAAACCCUGGGGUGCCGAGGCAGAACAUGUGAACUUAACUGCUGUGCCACUGGGCCGGCCCCCUCCAUGUUUUUUUGCUGCUGUUUCCUUUGGUUUGGACUCCUGUUGAAGACAUUCACCAAAUAACUGACCCUCCAUAGGGUAAAGGCCCCUGGAAGCUCUAUGUUCUUGGAAAGGGCUUGCUGACUGGUGGACUUGCUUAUUGGUAGUCCCAGAGUUUUCAUUUGGGAACUUAAUGUCUAUGGAAGUGUCUAUGAGUCACCAUCCCCCAACUCCUUGGGCCAUUUAGUUUCUCCGUAGAAAAAUCCUGAGAUCUCUCACCUGGGAUAUAUGCCUUGAUGCUUGCAUUUUGGGAGCAGGACAAGGAGGAAGAGGGGAAUUGACCCCACUUUUCUUUUUUUUUAUUUUUAAAGAUUGGCACCUGAACUAACAUCUGUUGCCAAUCUUCUUUUUUCCCCCUUCUUCUCUCCCCAAAGCCCCCCAGUACAGAGUUGUAUGUUCUAGUUGUGGGUCCUUCUGGUUGUGGCAUGUGGGACGCCGCCUCAGCACGGCCUGAUGAGCAGUGCUAGGUCUGCGCCCAGGAUCCCAACGGGUGAAACCCUGGGCCUCCAAAGGCCGACUUAACCACUCGGCCACAGGGCCAGCCCCAGACCCCACUUUUCAAUAAGCAGACUUUCACUUAAUCCCCACUGACCUUCUGAAAGCCCUUGGCCACCCAGUUGGAAAUGGAGGGGUCUCACAGUUUCAGUUUCUGCAACAGAUCUUUCCUUUGGGACUGGAGAUAAAGAUUAAGGACCUUAACUGCUCCUUAUGCAGACUUUCACCAAAAUUCCCUAUUUGCAGCCCACCCCUUAGCCCUUCCUGGUGAUGCCAAGUUGUCUUCCCAGGGAAGUUCACUUUCCCAGGUCCCCCAAGCAUUAGACAGUUCUCUUCUCUGUCCCUCUCCACAGCUCUCGCUCUUGGAAACCACCAUUCUACUUUCUAUCUGUGUGAAUUUGACUACUCCAGUUACCUCAUAUAAAUGGAAUCAUG
ensembl:lncRNA